rnacentral:rRNA from 1 species
GACGAACGCUGGCGGCGUGCCUAAUACAUGCAAGUAGAACGCUGAAGAGAGGAGCUUGCUCUUCUUGGAUGAGUCGCGAACGUGUGUGUCACGUGUAUGAACCCCGCCUUGCAGCGGGGUAUAACUAUUGGAAUCGAUAGCUAAUACCGCAUAACAAUGGACGACAAAUGUCAUUUAUUUGAAAGGGGCAAUUGUUCCACUACAAGAUGGAUCUGCGUUGUAUUAGCUAGUAGGUGAGGUACUGGCUCACUUAGGCGGCGAGACAUAGCCGACCUGAGAGGGAGAGCGGCCAGACUGGGACGGAGACACGGCCCAGACGCCUACGGGAGGCGGCAGUAGGGAUUCGGCAGCAAUGGGGGCGACCCUGACCGAGCAACGCCGCGUGAGUGAGGAGGAUUUUCGGAUCGUAGAUCUCUGUUGUAAGUCAAGAACGGGUGUGAGAGUGGAAAGAUCACUCAGUGACGGUAGCUUGCCAAAAAGCGACGGCUAACUACGUG